rnacentral:rRNA from 1 species
GACGAACGCUGGCGGCGUGCUUAACACAUGCAAGUCGAACGGAAAGGCCCUGCUUUUGUGGGGUGCGCGAGUGGCGAAAGGGUGAGUAACAAGGGAGUAACCUGCCCUUGACUUUGGGAUAACUUCAGGAAACUGGGGGUAAUAACGGAGAGGGGCUCCUGCUGCAUGGUGGGGGGUGGAAAGUUGGGGCGGUUGGGGAUGGACUCGCGGCGUAUCGGCUUGUUGGUGGGGUAGUGGCUUACCAAGGGUUUGACGGGUAGCCGGCCUGAGCGGGUGACCGGACACAUGGGAACUGGGAUCGGGCCCCAACUCCUACGGGAGGCAGCAGUGGGGAAUAAUGCGCAAUGGGCGGAAGCCUGAUGCAGCAACACCGCGUGCGGGAUGACGGCCUUCGGGUUGUAGGCCGCUUUCGCCUGUGACGCAGCGUGAGUGACGGUAAUGGGUAAAGAAGCACCGGCUAACUACGUG